UUUAGUUUGCUGUGAUAAAGUGAAAAUGCCUCCUGUUGUGUGCGAAGAUUCUGAGUUUUUUGAAGCAAUGGAACAAAUGAGUGGACCUGAGAAAAAGGUUGAUAUUGCUGUUUUCAAUUAUAUUAUUAAACAAAAAGACGAAAUUAUAAAGGAGCUAAGGGAUCGUGUAAAAACGCAAAGUGAGAUGAUAGACAUUUUGAUAAAAAGUUCGAACAACUUGGGAGGCUCCACUGAUUGUAGUUUAUCAUCAAUGGACGCUUUUUCGAGUAAGAUUAUGAAUAAAAACGUGAGUGGUGUGGAAGCAAGAAAAGUGGUAAACAAAAGUGAACCUGAAAUACGGAACACUAUUAUUUAUCCUAAUACGAAUUCAUGUAAUGAAGUUGAUCUAAAUAAUUCUUCAGACAAUGGUAAAAAUCCUUCUGAGAAGGAGGUAACAGGUGAUACUUUAAAACGUCGGCCGAAAGUUCGUCAGAUUUGUCAUCGAGUGAUCAUGAUUUC